AUUGAACGCUGGCGGCAUGCUUUACACAUGCAAGUCGAACGGUAACAGGGUGCUUGCACCGCUGACGAGUGGCGAACGGGUGAGUAAUGCGUCGGAACGUGCCGAGUAGUGGGGGAUAACGCAGCGAAAGUUGUGCUAAUACCGCAUACGUACUGAGGUAGAAAGUGGGGGACCUUCGGGCCUCACGCUAUUCGAGCGGCCGACGUCUGAUUAGCUAGUAGGUGAGGUAAAGGCUCACCUAGGCGACGAUCAGUAGCGGGUCUGAGAGGAUGAUCAGCCACACUGGGACUGAGACACGGCCCAGACUCCGACGGGAGGCAGCAGUGGGGAAUUUUGGACAAUGGGCGAAAGCCUGAUCCAGCCAUGCCGCGUGUCUGAAGAAGGCCUUCGGGUUGUAAGGGACUUUCGUCAGGGAGGAAAUCCCUAGUGCUAAUAACACUGGGGGAUGACAGUACCUGAAGAAUAAGCACCGGCUAACUACGUGCCAGCCGCCGCCGUAA
rnacentral:rRNA from 1 species